UUGUUUUGAAACAGACUGGCUUUUCUUUGU
rnacentral:piRNA from 1 species